AAUGAACGUUGGCGGCGUGGAUUAGGCAUGCAAGUCGAGCGAGAAUUUGCGAUUGGAAGCUUCGGCCGAAGAAAGUGAAGGAAAGCGGCAAACGGCGUAGUAAGGCGUAGGUACGUACCCUCGGGUCGGGAAUAGCCAUGGGAAACUGUGGGUAAUGCCCGAUAAUCUCUGCGGAGCAAAGGUGUGAUUCCGCCGGAGGAGCGGCUUACGUGAUAUUAGCUAGUUGGUGGGGUAAUGGCCUACCAAGGCAACGAUGUCUAGGGGGUGUGAGAGCAUGGCCCCCACGACCGGAACUGAGACACUGUCCGGACACCUACGGGUGGCUGCAGUCGAGAAUCUUCCGCAAUGGGCAAAGCCUGACGGAGCGACGCCGCGUGGUGGAUGAAGGCCCUUGGGUUGUAAACACCUGUCAGAGGGGAUGAAAUCAUGGUUGGCAAUCCUUCCAUGUUGACAGAGCCUCAGAGGAAGCACGGGCUAAGUACGUGCCAGCAGCCGCGGUAAAG
rnacentral:rRNA from 1 species